rnacentral:rRNA from 1 species
UACGUAGGGUGCGAGCGUUGUCCGGAUUUAUUGGGCGUAAAGAGCGUGUAGGCGGCCAGACAGGUCCGUUGUGAAAACUCGAGGCUCAACCUCGAGAUGUCGAUGGAAACCGUCUGGCUAGAGUCCGGAAGAGGAGUGUGGAAUUCCUGGUGUAGCGGUGAAAUGCGCAGAUAUCAGGAGGAACACCGAUGGCGAAGGCAGCUCGCUGGGACGGUACUGACGCUGAGACGCGAAAGCGUGGGGAGCAAACAGG